UCCAACUUCAUUGAAUGAUCCCGCCUGGUGACUGUUAGCGUCAUGUCCAACCGGGUCAUCAGGAUGGAUCAGCCAAUCAUGAAGAAGAAAAUGUACUACUUCAAAAUUGAGUGACAGCAUCGGCAGGGCAGGCAGACACUAUAAUGUCACAGAUACAAAGAUGAGUCCUCUAUCUAUCUUUAUGGAUGAGACAAUAGUUGCAAGUUCAAAGAGUAAUUUGCAUGGUUUGAGUCGUUUUCUGUGAAAAAUGGUAUCAGCGGCGUUUAAAGAAGUCCAAUCUCUCUUUACUCCCGUGACGGUUUAUUCUCUGCUGGCCUGCGCUGCUCAGUUCGUCGUGGGUUACAUCCUCGCGCAGAUAUGGGGACGAAAAUGCUCUGGAACUGAUAGAUGGGUGCUCGUGUGGCUUUUCUACCACGUAAUUUCACACAUUACCUUGGGAAGGAGUAUGGAAAGGCAGAUGAGCGCUGGCUACACUCUGACCCCACCAUCGUCUCCUUGGAGCUGCUGACGGUGGCCCUGGAUGGCAUCCUGGCGCUGGUGCUUGUCUAUGCCAUUGUCAAGGACAAACACUACAGGCACUUUGUCCAGAUCGUGUGUGUGUGUGUGUGUGUGUGUUGUACGGAGGCUGGGUGACCUUCUGUCCAGACUGGCUGGCAGACAGCCCCAACCUCAAAUCAGACCACUGGC